UACGUAGGGUGCGAGCGUUAAUCGGAAUUACUGGGCGUAAAGCGUGCGCAGGCGGUUCUCCAAGUCCGUUGUGAAAGCCCCGGGCUCAACCUGGGAAUGGCAGUGGAAACUAGGGGACUUGAAUCUGGCAGAGGGGGGUGGAAUUCCACGUGUAGCAGUGAAAUACGUAGAGAUUGGGAAGAACACCAGUGGCGAAGGCGGCUAUCUGGACGGUUUCUGACACUAAGACUCGAAAGCGUGGGGAGCAAACAGG
rnacentral:rRNA from 1 species